AGUAGGUCGGACGCCAUAUUGCCCUACGUAGUGUCUCGACAGUAAACAGACUUGUACGUCACUCUAAUAACAAGUUGGUACCUAGCCCCCCUUUGAGUACCUUGUAGACCCCACCCUCCAGCACCCCCGGGGACUGACCGGAAGCUGAAUGGGGUGAAAUACCUUCACUCGGAGACGGACGAGGAAUCCGAUGAAGUCUCGGCUGUUCGAACCUUCUUCGCAGACACAGAAAACAGUACAGGAAGGAAAAACAGAUGAAAUACUAUGUGUAUGAUUGAGAAAUCUAAGCAUCAAGCCUCCCAGUGACAAAGACUUAGCCAGUCCUGUCAAGAUAAAGCACCUUAAGGACACUGACACCUCGGUAUUAAGGUACGACUUGUACCCAAGACUGCGAACCAGUUAAAUGUGAACAUGUGUUCUCGACAUACACCGUCUGCAGUCACGAUAGCCUAACCGGACACUUUCCAGCUAAAAUAUCUGUCAUUUACACUUCUGCUGUCUCCUGAAAAUGGUACGUGAAUACAGAGAUCCUUAAUUGUACAGUGGAGAGUUCACUCAGACUGAUACAGAGGAAAAGGAACCAGCACAAGAUAUGAUGGAUGUUUAACUAACUCCAAGCAAGUGUUUCAAGUGUGAAAAAUCACAUUCUAUGCAAUCUUUGUACAGAAAACUUUGGGAAGAAACUUUUA